rnacentral:rRNA from 1 species
AGGUAGCGAAAUUCCUUGUCGGGUAAGUUCCGACCUGCACGAAUGGUGUAACCAUGGCCACGCUGUCUCCACCCGAGACUCAGUGAAAUCGAAUUCGCCGUGAAGAUGCGGUGUACCCGCGGCUAGACGGAAAGACCCCGUGAACCUUUACUACAGCUUGACACUGAACAUUGAACCUACCUGUGUAGGAUAGGUGGGAGGCUUUGAAGUGAUGACGCCAGUUGUCAUGGAGCCGUCCUUGAAAUACCACCCUGGUAUGUUUGAUGUUCUAACCUCAGCCCGUUAUCCGGGCCAGGGACAGUGUCUGGUGGGUAGUUUGACUGGGGCGGUCUCCUCCCAAAGAGUAACGGAGGAGCACGAAGGUGGGCUAAUCACGGUCGGACAUCGUGAGGUUAGUGCAAUGGCAUAAGCCCGCUUAACUGCGAGACGGACAGGUCGAGCAGGUGCGAAAGCAGGUCAUAGUGAUCCGGUGGUUCUGAAUGGAAGGGCCAUCGCUCAACGGAUAAAAGGUACUCCGGGGAUAACAGGCUGAUACCGCCCAAGAGUUCAUAUCGACGGCGGUGUUUGGCACCUCGAUGUCGGCUCAUCACAUCCUGGGGCUGAAGUUGGUCCCAAGGGUAUGGCUGUUCGCCAUUUAAAGUGGUACGCGAGCUGGGUUCAGAACGUCGUGAGACAGUUCGGUCCCUAUCUGCCGUGGGCGUUGGAUGAUUGAGUGGGGUUGCUCCUAGUACGAGAGGACCGGAGUGAACGAACCGCUGGUGUUCGGGUUGUCAUGCCAAUGGCACUGCCCGGUAGCUAAGUUCGGAAAAGAUAACCGCUGAAAGCAUCUAAGCGGGAAACUUGCCACGAGAUGAGUCAUCCCUAGGACUUUGAGUCCUCUGAAGGGCCGUUGGAGACGACGACGUUGAUAGGUGAGGUGUGUAAGCGUAGUGAUACGUUGAGCUAACUCAUACUAAUGACCCGAGAGGCUUAACCAU